rnacentral:lncRNA from 12 species
GAAAACAAGAUGUAAUUUUGGGACAUGUAGUCAGGUGAAGAGGUUGUACUCAUUUUCUUCUCCUCCUAACUAAAAUCACACCUGUCCCAUGAACAAGCCUCCUCUGCAUGACUCCGGAACACUCCAGCACUGGUGACUAUGGACAUCUACCAUACGUUUGACAGAAUGCUAAGCACGGCACAGUCAUCACAUUCAAGGUUCCCUGCAACCUGUGAGGCACAUGCAAAUGGAAUAAUAUUCUCUCCACUGAACAUUGCUGCUUCCUGGACCUUCUAAAGCUCAAGCCAAACUCCUCUUUUUGUUUUUAAGAGACAUUGCCUCACACAAAGAAUAUAUUAAACAUUGAUCUUGAGCAAGAGCAUUCAAGAGCAAAUUGGGAUCCAGGCUAUUUUCAGCUGGGACAACCAUUUCCUUCCAGCUUCACUUGAAGAUCAGAUGUUUGACUCUUCCAGGAAUCAAGGUGAAGAAGGAUAAACAUGCAAGUUUGAAGAAAAAGAAAAAAAGCAACCCAACUUGUGUUUUCUACAGCAUAACUGUCAACAUCUUGCUGGAAGUUCAAGUUAAGAAACAUCAAGGAAGCAUUUCAUAUAAACUGAAUAAAACGCAGAUGACUCAGUCAUCCAUGCAGCUUUGAGU